rnacentral:rRNA from 1 species
UACAGAGGGGGCAAGCGUUAUUCGGAAUUAUUGGGCGUAAAGGGCGCGUAGGCGGCUUUGCAAGUGGCGGGUGAAAUCCCUCGGCUUAACCGAGGAACUGCCUGUCAAACUGCAUGGCUUGAGACCGGGAGAGGUGAGUGGAAUUCCCAGUGUAGCGGUGAAAUGCGCAGAUAUCAGGAGGAACACCGGUGGCGAAGGCGGAUCUCUGGGCCUUACCUGACGCUCAGGCACGAAAGCUAGGGGAGCGAACAGG